rnacentral:rRNA from 1 species
UACGUAGGGCGCAAGCGUUAUCCGGAAUUAUUGGGCGUAAAGAGCUCGUAGGCGGUUUGUCGCGUCUGCCGUGAAAGUCCGGGGCUCAACUCCGGAUCUGCGGUGGAUACGGGCAGACUAGAGGUAGGUAGGGGAGAAUGGAAUUCCCGGUGUAGCGGUGAAAUGCGCAGAUAUCGGGAGGAACACCGGUGGCGAAGGCGGUUCUCUGGGCCUUACCUGACGCUGAGGAGCGAAAGCGUGGGGAGCGAACAGG